ensembl:snRNA U1 U1 spliceosomal RNA
AUACUUAGCCAGCAGGGGAGAUACCAUGAUCACAAAUGUGGCUUUCCCAGGGUGAGGCUCAUACAUUACACUCAGGUUGUGCUGACCGAUGUGAUUUCCCCACACAUGGGAAACUGGACUCCAUAAUUUGUGGUAGUGGGAAUUCCCC